rnacentral:rRNA from 1 species
UGGGGAAUAUUGGACAAUGGGCGAAAGCCUGAUCCAGCCAUGCCGCGUGUGUGAAGAAGGCCUUUUGGUUGUAAAGCACUUUAAGUGGGGAGGAAAAGCUUGUGGUUAAUACCCAUAAGCCCUGACGUUACCCACAGAAUAAGCACCGGCUAACUCUGUGCCAGCAGCCGCGGUAAUACAGAGGGUGCAAGCGUUAAUCGGAAUUACUGGGCGUAAAGCGCGCGUAGGUGGUUAUUUAAGUCAGAUGUGAAAGCCCCGGGCUUAACCUGGGAACUGCAUCUGAUACUGGAUAACUAGAGUAGGUGAGAGGGGAGUAGAAUUCCAGGUGUAGCGGUGAAAUGCGUAGAGAUCUGGAGGGAUACCGAUGGCGAAGGCAGCUCCCUGGCAUCAUACUGACACUGAGGUGCGAAAGCGUGGGUAGCAAACAGGAUUAGAUACCCUGGUAGUCCACGCCGUAAACGAUGUCUACCAGUCGUUGGGUCUUUUAAAGACUUAGUGACGCAGUUAACGCAAUAAGUAGACCGCCUGGGGAGUACGGCCGCAAGGUUA